rnacentral:rRNA from 1 species
AUUGAACGCUGGCGGCAUGCUUUACACAUGCAAGUCGAACGGUAACAGGCCGCAAGGUGCUGACGAGUGGCGAACGGGUGAGUAAUGCAUCGGAACGUGCCCAGUCGUGGGGGAUAACGCAGCGAAAGCUGUGCUAAUACCGCAUACGAUCGAUGGAUGAAAACGGGGGAACGUAAGGCCUCGCGCGAUUGGAGACGCCGAUGUCAGAUUAGGGAGUUGGUGGGGUAAAGGCCUACCAAGCCGACGAUCUGUAGCUGGUCUGAGAGGACGACCAGACACACUGGGACUGAGACACGGCCCAGACUCCCACGGGAGGCAGCAGUGGGGAAUUUUGGACAAUGGGCGCAAGCCUGAUCCAGCAAUGCCGCGUGCAGGAAGAAGGCCUUCGGGUUGUAAACUGCUUUUGUACGGAGCGAAAAGGCUCUCUCUAAUACAGGGGGCUCAUGACGGUACCGUAAGAAUAAGCACCGGCUAACUACGUGCCAGCAGCCGCCGUAAGAC